AGCAGCCGCGGUAAUUCCAGCUCCAAUAGCGUAUAUUAAAGUUGCUGCAGUUAAAAAGCUCGUAGUUGAAUUUCGGGACCAUCAUGUCGGUCGUGCCUCGGUACGUACUGGCAUUGUUGGUUUCUUCCUUCUGACGAACCAUGAUGUCAUUUAUUUGGUGUCGUGGGAAAUCAGGACUGUUACUUUGAAAAAAUUAGAGUGUUUAAAGCAGGCUCACGCUUGAAUACAUUAGCAUGGAAUAAUGAAAUAGGAUGUUUGAUUCUAUUUUGUUGGUUUUUAGGAUCGACGUAAUGAUUAAUAGGGAUAGUUGGGAGCAUUAGUAUUCAAUUGUCAGAGGUGAAAUUCUUGGAUUUAUUGAAGACUAACUACUGCAAAAGCAUUUGCCAAGGAUGUUUUCAUUAAUCAAGAACGAAAGUUAGGGAUCGAAGACGAUCAGAUACCGUCGUAGUCUUAACCAUAAACUAUGCCGACUAGGAAUCAGAUGAUGUUAAUUUUUUAAUGACUCAUUCGGCGCCUUACG
rnacentral:rRNA from 1 species